GGGCCCGCACAAGCGGUGGAGCAUGUGGUUUAAUUCGAAGCAACGCGAAGAACCUUACCAGGUCUUGACAUCCCUUGACAGCCUCAGAGAUGAGGUAUCUCUUCGGAGCAAGGAGACAGGUGGUGCAUGGUUGUCGUCAGCUCGUGUCGUGAGAUGUUGGGUUAAGUCCCGCAACGAGCGCAACCCUUGCCUUUAGUUGCCAUCAUUAAGUUGGGGACUCUAGAGGGACUGCCGGUGACAAAUCGGAGGAAGGUGGGGAUGACGUCAAAUCAUCAUGCCCCUUAUGACCUGGGCUACACACGUGCUACAAUGGUCUGUACAGAGGGAAGCGAAAGGGCGACCUGGAGCGAAUCCCAGAAAGCAGAUCUCAGUUCGGAUUGUAGGCUGCAACUCGCCUACAUGAAGUCGGAAUCGCUAGUAAUCGCAGGUCAGCAUACUGCGGUGAAUACGUUCCCGGGCCUU
rnacentral:rRNA from 1 species